AGAACAACAUUUUUAUUGAAUAAGGCAAUCACUCGAAAUGCAAUCAACGACUUUUUCCACAUCCGAUUUUAAACUGGGCGUUAUACAUCAACAAUUUCUUGUCAUUACCGCUGAGUUUUUCUCAUACACUAAAAAAAUGGCACUUUUAAACUCGGGAGCCUAAAGCGAGUUUCUGAAUCACCUUCAUCAUACACAUUCAAAUCGGAAUAUUUGAAAGGCAGGGAUUUAUAAGACUAACAUUGUAGCAUUAGUCGGCAUAAGUACGAUAGUGUUUUGUAUCAGACCUUUUGAUUUUUGUUAGACAAAAUCGACAUAGUUGGUAAACUCAUUAUUUUGGGCGAAUUCGUACGCGUAAUAAAAAAAACCGAUUCUUACCGGAAACGUUCUCGUUAACUAACAUCCGAAAAUAUAUCGAAAAAAAAACCCUUUUCGAUCGAAUUUAAAAAAAAGAAUAAAAGCAUAAAUUGGUGUUGCCUUUAUGUCCAAACUUCAAAUAUAUAAUACGUACUACAAUAAUAAACUGGACAAAGAUCUGUUAAUUAGAUCGUGUAGUAGAAGGACACACUUGUUUUAUUCUUGAUAUCAGGUUCUUACCAACCUUCCGGCCUAUUAAACUCGUUACACAAACAUUUCCUUAAAGGAUGUAGAAACCCCUAUAAUGUAACUUUUGUUCUUCUAUAUCACAACAAUAAAUAUUACACCAGCCUCUCGACAAUUAAUAAGAAUUAUACAAACAUUUUCUUAAAGGAUGUAGAAACCUCAAUAAUGUAACUUUUGUUCUUCUAUAUCACAACAAAAUAUACUACAACAGUCUUAUAGGUCAAAGUACGGUUGUCAUCACGGAGCAUUGGCUCACACUAAAGAGCAAGCUAUAAAGGGCCACAUAAAUUAACUAGUGUAAAGCC
rnacentral:lncRNA from 1 species